rnacentral:rRNA from 1 species
CCAGACUCCUACGGGAGGCAGCAGUGGGGAAUAUUGCACAAUGGGGGAAACCCUGAUGCAGCGACGCCGCGUGAGCGAUGAAGUAUUUCGGUAUGUAAAGCUCUAUCAGCAGGGAAGAAAAUGACGGUACCUGACUAAGAAGCCCCGGCUAACUACGUGCCAGCAGCCGCGGUAAUACGUAGGGGGCAAGCGUUAUCCGGAUUUACUGGGUGUAAAGGGAGCGUAGACGGCCAUUCAAGCCAGAUGUGAAAGCCCGGGGCUCAACUCCGGGACUGCAUUUGGAACUGUGGGGCUAGAGUGUCGGAGAGGCAGGCGGAAUUCCUAGUGUAGCGGUGAAAUGCGUAGAUAUUAGGAGGAACACCAGUGGCGAAGGCGGCCUGCUGGACGAUGACUGACGUUGAGGCUCGAAAGCGUGGGGAGCAAACAGGAUUAGAUACCCUCGUAA